rnacentral:rRNA from 1 species
UAGGGAAUCUUCCGCAAUGGGCGAAAGCCUGACGGAGCAACGCCGCGUGAGUGAUGAAGGUCUUCGGAUCGUAAAACUCUGUUAUUAGGGAAGAACAUAUGUGUAAGUAACUGUGCACAUCUUGACGGUACCUUAUCAGAAAGCCACGGCUAACUACGUGCCAGCAGCCGCGGUAAUACGUAGGUGGCAAGCGUUAUCCGGAAUUAUUGGGCGUAAAGCGCGCGUAGGCGGUUUUUUAAGUCUGAUGUGAAAGCCCACGGCUCAACCGUGGAGGGUCAUUGGAAACUGGAAAACUUGAGUGCAGAAGAGGAAAGUGGAAUUCCAUGUGUAGCGGUGAAAUGCGCAGAGAUAUGGAGGAACACCAGUGGCGAAGGUGACUUUCUGGUCUGUAACUGACGCUGAUGUGCGAAAGCGUGGGGAUCAAACAGGAUUAGAUACCCUGGUAGUCCACGCCGUAAACGAUGAGUGCUAAGUGUUAGGGGGUUUCCGCCCCUUAGUGCUGCAGCUAACGCAUUAAGCACUCCGCCUGGGGAGUACGACCGCAAGGUUG